rnacentral:rRNA from 1 species
UACGUAGGGGGCAAGCGUUGUCCGGAAUCAUUGGGCGUAAAGAGCGUGUAGGCGGCUUGGUAAGUCGCUGGGGAAAGUCCAGGGCUCAACCCUGGAAUGCCGGCGGAAACUGUCAAGCUUGAGUCCGGAAGAGGCGAGUGGAAUUCCUGGUGUAGCGGUGAAAUGCACAGAUAUCAGGAGGAACACCAAUGGCGAAGGCAGCUCGCUGGGACGGUACUGACGCUGAGACGCGAAAGCGUGGGGAGCAAACAGG